UACGUAGGGACCAAGCGUUGUUCGGAUUUACUGGGCGUAAAGGGCGCGUAGGCGGCAAUUCAAGUCAGCUGUGAAAUCUCCGAGCUUAACUCGGAACGAUCAGCUGAUACUGUUUUGCUAGAGUGCAGAAAGGGCAACCGGAAUUCUUGGUGUAGCGGUGAAAUGCGUAGAUAUCAAGAGGAACACCUGAGGCGAAGGCGGGUUGCUAGGCUGACACUGACGCUGAGGCGCGAAAGCUAGGGUAGCAAACGGG
rnacentral:rRNA from 1 species